CCUCCCCCCCUCCCCUCAGUCCCGGGGCAGCCUCCCGGCCUCCACUCGAGGUGCCCGCCCGCCCCCACGGCCAGCUCAGCCUCCUUACACAUCCCAGUUCCCAUGACUGUUCAGUUGUUUACAGCACAGUACAGAUUUAUUUGGAGAAAGGUUUUAAGUUAUUUCCGUGGCAUGAUCUCGAUGUGUUCAAGCUUCUCUGCUCUAAUGGAAGAGGCUUGGUACACUAAAUUUGGGUGCAGGGAUUUGGCCUGUCGCUGGCGUCCAGGUCGCCUGCCCUCGGGAGUGACCUGUCCUAGUGGCCGCCAAGGCCCGAGGCUGAGGUUGUGGACUCUCCGCCCAGUGCACUUCGUGUGGAUGGAUCCCAGAUUUAGCUCUUGCCGGGACUCGACUCUUCACCAAGUCUUUGCCUCCCCUCUGACGCCAUAGGACAGCUCAACACCUUGUUUUUCUUGGGUAAUGGCUGUUGAGACACCGAGGAUGCUCCACAUUUCAGCGCGGCGGGGCCCGGAGCGCGGAGCGGGGAGGCAACGGCCGGGCUCACGGAGAAGCGCCGUGGGGCUGGUGCCACGGAUGCCACGUCUGCCGCGACUCCGGCCCUCGAAGCCGCCCCACCUUUCCGGGCCACCUCAUUUAUGGAUGAAAAGGAAGAAAGUGGGAUUCCCCAUCAUUAGCCUCAACGCCCCACGGAUUCUUUUUGUUAACUCCACCCCUCAUUUUCACGAUCCAUCGAGAACCUCUGUCGGCUAAAAAUUAUUUGUUAGUGAUGUACUUAUCGCUUUAUAGUCUUAUUAUUUAAAUGCAAAAAAAAUUUAUUUAUUUAUAUGUUACCAUGUUCACAGUUUGUUGUUACUACGUCCGUAUUCACUGCUGAUUUAUCAAGGACCCGGAUAGUCUCCAACUCUGCUUACCCGUGCAUGCUCAACUGACCUGGGCUGGCCUGACGCAAUCCCACCCGAGCAAAGAGGUUUCAAAGCUUGAUCAUCCUCGAUGGCCCUGCCUUGUUCAGCCCCCAAGAAUGAAGAGGCUGUAGCUGGGGAGUCCCCGGUCCCAGCCGACAGGUCUCCCUACGGGCCUGGGAGUUGGUGUUGUGGACACACCAUCCGGCGGGGUGUU